UACGAAGGGUGCAAACGUUGCUCGGAAUUAUUGGGCGUAAAGCGCACGUAGGCGGUAUUGCAAGUCGGAUGUGAAAUCCCUCGGCUCAACCAAGGAAGUGCAUCCGAAACUGCCGUACUUGAGUACUUAAGAGGAUCGCGGAAUUCCCGGUGUAGAGGUGAAAUUCGUAGAUAUUCGGAGGAACACCAGUGGCGAAGGCGACUGCCUGGACGAACAUUGACGCUGAGGUGCGAAAGCGUGGGGAGCAAACAGG
rnacentral:rRNA from 1 species